GUGCGCACAGCGUCAGAUUUACUGGGGAUGUGGAAGGCGGAGGCACAGGAGAGCAAACAGCCUCUGGAGCAGCCAGCCAGAACCCCGAGGGAUGCAAUCACUGGUGGCACAGGCACUGCUCACAGAGACUUUGUGAGCAGCCGAAGAACAGCGAGCAAACCCCUUUCCCUGGGAUCUGGAGAGCCUCCUGCACACCCUGGGAUCCUGCAGUCUGCAUGUGGCACAGUCUGGAGAGAACAAAAUGGGGAACAGGAACCAAACCCUGCUUGUGUCCAGCCUGGCAAAUAUGAAACGAAAGUCUUAUGAUGUGGUGAGCCCCCACUGGAAGCCCGAGAGAUGGAUAACAUCAACCUGCAGCUGAAUAAAACAUUUAAAUCCUCCGAUAAGAAAAGGCUGUGAGGAACUACCUAUACAUCACCACCACCUGCUGGGUGCCUCGGGAAGGAGCCUCAGACACUGCCACCCUGCCAGGCAAGGCCACCCCAAAAAGCAUGAGAGACCCCACAAAAGCAGCUGCCUAGCUCUCUGGCAGGUAUCUCAAUGCAAGUAGAACAGUCUCACACUGGCAGUCUGCAAGCACCAGGGGUUUAAAAGCAUGUGUGAAGCCAAUCUCUUUUGUUAAUGCAUGAAUCCCAGGCAAAAUAACAGGCAGCUGGUGGAGGAUGGGAUUAAUAAAGAGUUAAAGAAAGGUAAAAUAAUUAGGGUCCUGCUCGUGGGGCAUAUGGAGAAUGGGGCUUGUCAGAGCAGCUUGCUCUAAUUUUUCAUGGAGAUUACGAAUUUUAGUGGAGAGAGAUAAUAGCGUUGCUGUAACGUACUUAGGCUCUUGUAAGCCAUUUGAUCUGCCCCUGCCUGACACUCUGACUAAUAAACCAGAGCGAUAGCAAAUCGACAUGCCACACGAGAUGUGCAGGAAAGCAGCAAACGAGGACAUCCAAAUGGGAUUAAAAAGGGGAACAACUGCCAAUAGAGUCUCUCCUGGGGCAUCCCACCCAUCACAUAUGCACAUGGGAUGCAGGAGGGAUGUAACCCUCCUGGGAGUGGAGAGUAUGUGGGCUGCACUGACCAUGUUGGCCCCUGGCUGGGGGCAGCAGCUCUGCAGAGUACCUGGGUGCUGCCCCAUGGGAUGUCCAGCUCACUCCUUGGGCUGUUGGAGCUGAAAAUCUUUUUGCAACCCCAGAUGUAAGGCAGGAUCAUGCCAGAGCAGAGGCACACUGUUUUUCUCCAGCCCCAGUGAACGUGCAUUGCCAGGAUUUGGGUCUGGGGAACGUGCCAGUGUGAGACUCUCCCAGGAAGAGCACUGUGGAUCACACCCAGCAGCUCUUCAUCCCUGCUGUGCUUUCACAAAUCCAAAUCCUCCUGCCUCAAAGGCCCUCAAGCAUAACUAGAAGUGGUUGCUAAUUAAAGGUUUACACUAAGGCCUCACCAGUGGGCUGCCCUCCUUCCUUGGGAAGCUACACAGAGUGUGAUAAAGGCAUGAGAGGUGCUAAACGGUUGAUAAGGAGAAACCGGGGAGUGCUGUGGUGGAGAUCCAGGCUGACCCAUCUUACCUCCCCUUCCUUGCUGCCUUGCAGCACUGGACUCUCCUCACCAGCAGCCCCAGAGAGCCACCACACCAGAGCUGCCCCCAACACCUUGGUCAUUAUGCCCCAGCUUCUGGCACCAAAUUUGCCACACCACCCCAGGCAUCCUCCCCAGACCUCCAGAGAAAUCCCAAAACCAAGUCCUCUCCCUCUGCAGCUGACAUGGCCCUUCUGCUCCUGCCUUUUCCUUUGGGAAGUGCCAGGCACUUUGGGCAGAAACACUUUUUCAUCCAGAAAAUACCAGUUCAUCAAAACACUUCCUAAGAAAAGGUCACUUCAAACAAAUUUCUCUUUCCAAAAACCUUCUGGGGAAGAAAGGAAAAAAAAAAAAGCAACAUUUUAUCUAUCCUGUUUCAACAGCUUUAACUGAAAAAUAAAUCUUUCCUCCCUCACCCCACCCAGGUGCCAAAUGAUUUCAUUUGGAAAUGCAAGAUUGUUAUCUUCCUUAAAAAAAAAAAAAAAAUCAAAUAGAAAAGGGUGAAAUCAAAAGAAAAUGUCUGGAAAAAGUUAAAAUGAAACACUCCACUGAGUCCAACGCAGCAAGUGGGAGUUGGGUGGCAUUCUGCCAGGUUCCCUGGGGUGGCUUUCAUCCCAGUUCAGGGCAGGAGAGGAUUCCCAAGUCUUAACAAGAAUCCCACGACAGUGGAGCUGGUUCCCAUGACCCAUCCUAGCACAGGCUUUGCAGGACACGGUGACACUGCCAAACAUCUUACAACCCAUGAGCUUGCCAGGAGCAGAGACCCCACAACUCGUGACACGUCAGAGCAGCAGAGCUUCAGAGGCCGAAGGUGGCAAUGGAGCCAAGGGACCCCCAAGGGGCCAGGUGUCUAUGGGAUGCAGCAUAGCCCCGAUACUGGGAUGGGAAAUAGGGCUGGUGUUUCCCUUACAGCUUCCCCACAUGUGCUCACAGUCCCCCGACAGCAUCCCCAGCCCUCAGCUGUUACAGUUUAGGCUGCACGGGGAGCGGGAAUGCCAGCAAUCAGGCAUCCAGAAGGGAAUCCAGGCCCGGUUCAAUAUUGAAAGAAGAAGGGCUUUGAAAGGAGUACGCUCAUUUCCCUGUUUCGUCCUUUGCCAAGAAAACCAGGAGGAUAGAGGAAGGGACGAAGGGGUGGGGGGAACAGUGGAAGAAAUGUCUUGGCUUGGCCCUCCCUGCCUUUUAUCUUGUGGGCAGCCUGCCGAGGCAGGGUCUUCCCCCUGCUGAGCCCGCUGGCAGAUCAAAUGAAAGGAAAGAAGAGUUAUAACCCCCCCCCUCCCCCCCCCCCCCCCCCCCCCCCGCCCAGCAGCCUCCUCCCUUCAAGGAAAAGGAGAGGAGGAAAGAGCAAAUGGCCCUGUGAUGCCAACAGUUCACACCCCAGCUGGAUGGGAAACAUCAUGAAAAGUCAGCUUCUCAGCAUCCAUGGGGGGCGAGGAGAUAUUCUCCCCAACCAGCAAAGGGAAGCCCAGAGACAUCCAGAUGUGGUUGGAGGGUGGGCCGUGUCCCCAUGGAGGGGACAGCACUGCUCCAUGGCCUUGAACCAAGGGGGAAGGUCACCAGUGGUCCUGGCAAGCAUCUCCAACAAGGGUCCCGCUGUGCCUGUUCCUCCAUCAUGCCAGACCUUUCAGAGCCAGCUUCAAGCAAAUAGCUUAAUUAAAUGCCUUUAUUCCAAGGA